rnacentral:rRNA from 1 species
GAUCAACGCUAGCUACAGGCUUAACACAUGCAAGUCGCGGGGCAGCAUGGGGGUUGCUUGCAAUCCCUGAUGGCGACCGGCGCACGGGUGAGUAACGCGUAUCCAACCUGCCCUUCACCACGGGAUAACCCGGCGAAAGUCGGACUAAUACCGUAUGUUGUCCAUUGACGGCAUCCGAUUUGGACGAAAGGCUUAGCGGUGAGGGAUGGGGAUGCGUCCGAUUAGCUUGACGGCGGGGUAACGGCCCACCGUGGCUACGAUCGGUAGGGGUUCUGAGAGGAAGGUCCCCCACACUGGAACUGAGACACGGUCCAGACUCCUACGGGAGGCAGCAGUGAGGAAUAUUGGUCAAUGGGCGUAAGCCUGAACCAGCCAAGUAGCGUGCAGGAUGACGGCCCUAUGGGUUGUAAACUGCUUUUAGGCGGGGAUAAAGGGACCCACGUGUGGGUUUUUGCAGGUACCGCAUGAAUAAGGACCGGCUAAUUCCGUG